CCACCACGUGACCUUCAUUCCUACACUUGUCUGUACAACCUGUUACUAUAAUUCAUUACUCUGACGUCUUUCCUUUUGCUCUCAUUCCAUGGAGCAUUUACUGUCAUUCAUGGCAAUUUAAGGAUGAAUAAAUUCAAUCUAAACGAUAUCUUAGAUAUCUUAUUUUCAUAUCAUCGCUCCCAACAUCAUCUGCCAUGACGCGUAUAGAAUCAUACAACGACAUGGCCUAUCGCUAGGGCACGUACCGCGCGUCAGAUCGUGUUCGUACAUAACCUACUCACCUUCCUAUACUUCCGGUUCGGUUCAGCGCCGUUGGUCUUUACGCUAGUGUUUGUCACCCGGGGGUGACGUUGUUGAAUGUGCCUCACCCGGCUGCCUUUCCAGGUCUCCUCCCCCCCCCCGCCCCAAAAAGAAACACUAACUUGGAUAACCUGUCGGCCGGGCAUGCCCGAUCCUAGUUUACCGUGGUAACUACUCUGCUUAAUUUCGAUAACGAACGAGAUCUUAACCUGUUACACUAGCUCGCAUUUCUCCGGCAUUGCGCUGGCUUUCUUAGAGGGACUCUCGGCUCAACCCGAAGGAAGUUUGAGGCAAUAACAGGUCUGUGAUGCCCUUUGCUGUUCUGGGCCCGCACGCGCGCUACACUGACGGGGUCAGCGAGUUCCUUGGCCGAAAGGCCCGGGUAAUCUUGUUAGCCCCCGUCGUGCUGGGGAUAGAGCAUUGCAAUUAUUGCUCUUCAACGAGGAAUCCCUAGUAAGCGCAAGUCAUCAGCUUGCGUUGAUUACGUCCCUGCCCUUUGCACUCACCGCCCGUCAAGGGCGAAUUCCGGGGCCGCUAAAUCAAUCGCCCUAUAUUAAGCG
rnacentral:rRNA from 1 species